rfam:Gossypium raimondii Chr01_contig_266, whole genome shotgun sequence.
UGUUAAUAUUUUCAUCUAUUUUUACUGUUAAAAACUGGCAUGACUAACAGAAUAACCAAAUAGUGACACGCGACGUGCCACAUGUACCUCAUGCUGACGUACAAGGGCCAAUUUUUAACAGUAGAAAUGGAUGAAAUUUUUAAUA